rnacentral:rRNA from 1 species
GCCUAAAGCGUCCGUAGCCGGCUCUGUAAGUUUUCGGUUAAAUCCAUAUGCUCAACAUAUGGGCCGCCGGGAAUACUGCAGAGCUAGGGAGUGGGAGAGGUAGACGGUACUCGGGAGGAAGUGGUAAAAUGCUUUGAUCUCUCGAUGACCACCUGUGGCGAAGGCGGUCUACCAGAACACGUCCGACGGUGAGGGAUGAAAGCUGGGGGAGCAAACCGGAUUAGAUACCCGGGUAGUCCCAGCUGUAAACUAUGCAAACUCAGUGAUGCAUUGGCUUGUGGCCAAUGCAGUGUUGCAGGGAAGCCGUUAAGUUUGCCGCCUGGGAAGUACGUACGCAAGUAUGAAACUUAAAGGAAUUGGCGGGGGAGCACCACAAGGGGUGAAGCCUGCGGUUCAAUUGGAGUCAACGCCAGAAAUCUUACCCGGAGAGACAGCAGAAUGAAGGUCAAGCUGAAGACUUUACCAGACAAGCUGAGAGGUGGUGCAUGGCCGCCGCCAGCUCGUGCCGUGAGAUGUCCUGUUAAGUCAGGUAACGAGCGAGAUCCCUGCCUCUAGUUGCCACCAUUACUCUCAGGAGUAGUGGGGCGAAUUAGCGGGACCGCCGCAGUUAAAUGCGGAGGAAAGGAAGGGGCCACGACAGGUCAGUAUGCCCCGAA